rnacentral:rRNA from 1 species
GCGCAAUAAUGAGCCCCCUAAUUAGGGGAUAGAAUGAACGAACUAACCCUAGUCAACUAUUAUACUCCCUCCCCCGAAAACUAAUCUCCAGGUGAAAAAGCCUGAAUUACCAUAAAAGACAAGAAGACCCUAAAAACUUCCUACAUUACCCCUUCUCUAGCCAAUAUGUUUUUUGCUGGGGCGACAAAAUUAAAAACACUUUUAACAACCAGAACUAUAAUUCUUAUACAAUAUAACCCCAACCGAAUCAAAGCAAGUUCCUUUAGGGAUAACAGGCUAAUAUUUUCUGAGAGUUCUAAUCGACGAAACUGUUUGGCACCUCGAUGUUGGCUUUCGGCUCCCACCUCGCGCAGCAACGAGAUGGGGGGGUUUGUUCAACCCUUAAACCCGAACGUGAUCUGAGUCCCACCGGAA